CCAUAUUAUCAUAAAUAAAUAACUAUGAAAUCCCACUAAGGUUCUGGCACUAUAGAGAUUGCUUUCUAUCUUCAUGCUUCCAAUUAACUUCUUCAACCAUCAGUAUUGACAUAUGGAUGGGUAAAUUGAUUGUUGUUUUGGAAGGUCUGAAGAUGCCUCAUACCCUGAGAAUAAUCCUCCUAUAAGCUAAACCAGAUUUAUGCAAUUUAUUUCUUACAACAAACACCGACACGAGCAGUGUACACUCAUUGAUCUUUUGGUCAGAACUAUAGUCAUCAAUGACUUCAGAGAAGCCAAUACAGCGUUGGAUGUGCUGUCAAAGAUAGCGAUGCAACAUAUGCAUCACCAUCAACGACUUUAAAGUGUUCAUGUAUUCAUUUUUUUUCUUGAUGUUUGUGAAGUUUAUGUCCUCGUUGUGUACUUGUGCAUAUUAGAGCAAAAGUUUUUAUACCUAAAGUUUUGAAUUUAAUACACUACUUUUUUUAUGAC